UUUCCCUGCCGCGGCCAUCGCCACGGGCGGAUCCGCCAUCGGCGAGUCUUCGCCAUCGGCCCUCGCCGUGGCCGCUCUACGCCCCGGCGCCGUUGGGCCCUUCCCCGGUAAUGAGCACCCACCAGGUAUACCUAGUCCUUGCCUGCAGAGAUUUAUCCCUGACUCCUAGCUAGCUACAACUCAGAUCUAGAGUUGUUGUCACUUUGAUUCAUGUGUUUCUCCCUGACUCGUUGAGCACAGAAGAUUAGGCAAAGGUGAAAGGAACAGACUGACAGGGGUCGGCAGAUUUGUUGCAUGCUUAAGAUUCUGCAAAGCUAGUACCUAGUAAUCGUUGCUAAUGGGAAAUUCCAUUAACAAGUCCUUGUCAUCUUAACCUGGAGAGUCUUUUUUUUUGAAUCUACCUAUCGAUUGCUUUUGCUUCCAUUGUUUGGGCGCUAUUAAGGUUUCAGUAUACUAGCAAGACUGCAGAAAUAAUAUUAUGAUGGUCAUGAAACAGUACAGAGCAAUGUGCCGUUUAUAAAGUUAUAUAGGUUUCUUGAUGCGGGAAUGUGACUUGUUAUGUCCAACAUGUGAUAAGACUAUAUUAUUAUAUCCAAGUUUAGGGCUUAUGUAGACUUUCAGGAGUCAUGAAAAUAAUACUAUGAUUGAUGCUUUCAGACCAUACAAUUUAGGACACACAGAACCUACCCAACAAGAAAUUUCAAGUUCUGUCGUCGUCAAGUCUGACUCAACUCAUAAAGUCUUGACUCCUGAAAGUGAGGUUUUCAAGUUUGUUGAUCCUAUACCUUUUCUGCUGAGGUGCCAAAUAAAUGUAGGCAUGGUUGCUGCGGUGCUCACAAGCAGCCUCGUAAGAACUCAUUGUUGGGUCCUGAGUUCAAUGAGUUUGAAGAUCAUCACCGAUUUUGCAUUGCUGAUCUUACAGUAGAGCUCCUUAAUUGUACUAGUGCCCUCUAUCAAUCUUUAUGUAAUGAAUUCUUACAUGUGAACCUCCUGAUCUUGCUAUGUAUCAUCUUUAGACUUGCAGUAUGUUAUGUGGUAUAUCUAUGAUUGCACUGUUAUUAGUUUGUACUAACUUUGAUCUUGUUUCAUAGUAUAAUGCUUGGGAUGUAUGCCUAUGUAUCUGCACUUUUGAGCUCUGGUUUGUGUCAUAUUGUACACUAAUGAUAAUAAUACAUGCCUUGCAGAUAGAUGGGCCAAAUGUUUUUGUUAUGGACAAUAGAUUGGUGAGCAGGAACUCUAACUUGCAAGCUCGACUUGCUGCUCUAGAGGGUGCACAGAAGCUGUUAAUUAGCAAUUACUUAGUUUGCUUGUGCCAAGUUUUGUAAUAAAUAAGUAUAUAUCUAUCAGCAGACAUGUCCUUGUCAUGUUUUUAUAUUUUCAGAUUUUUUUUCAUUUUUUUUGUAUUUUGUUCAAGUAUGUGAAUGGAUUGUAAAUUUAUGCAAUUUCAGAGAUGCAAGUUGACAUGACUGAGUGAGCUAGCAACUCAGUUCAAGCUACGUAUAUACUACAUGCAUUGUGCCAUCGUUCAAAUGGCGCUGUGGGCCGCCGCCUUUGCCCGCAAAAAGCAAACGGCGCUGCGGGCCGCCGCCCGCCUUUGCCCGCAAAAAGCAAACGGCGCUGCGGGCCGCCGCCUUUGCCCGCAAAAAGCAAACGGUACAAUGCGGGCCGCCGCCUCUGCCCGCUAGCUCGCUUGCGGUUUAUGCGGACACGGGACGGGCUGCCCGUCGCCGCGCCGCUUGCAAGUUUAACUCACAUACACAUCACCUUUAUUUUCAGGUUCACUGGAACCUCUAUUACAAAAGUAAUAAUCACAAUGAAACAACUUG
rnacentral:lncRNA from 1 species